rnacentral:lncRNA from 1 species
GGCUGAAAAAGGAAACUGGAGAUAGCAAAAGAGACAUAGGAUUUAUUGAAGGAACUUACAUACAGGGACAAUCCAGGAGGAGCAGACUGGACCAGAGAACCACCACCAUUUGUAAAACACAUGCAGUUUAUAGAGGAAUUUCACUUAGCACCCUCCACCUAGCAACCUUCACCUAGCAAUCUCCAUUUAACACAAAACAAAGGGCCUGGAUCCCUUGUAUGGCCUGCAUUCCAAGGGAAUGGCUGGGGAUUCAGAUGUCCUUCAUAGAUAAGGAGUGAAACUCUGGGUUGUCUACUCCUGGAUCCCUUAGCUCAGGACUCCAAACACACAUUCUUCUUAGACCAUAGGGUCAUUCUCAGGGUAUGCUUCAGUUAUAGUUGUCAGGUGCCUCUGCCAUGUACCAACUAUAAUUUAUGUCUGUUUACUCUUGGAGAUACAUUUUCAGUUGGUGGAGUCAGAAGUGAGGAGACAUUAUCUCUCAGUGUUUACAUGUUACUGACAGCAAAUCCACAAGGGUCUGCAGCAACCUCAAUUCUUCCCCCUUUAGAAGAAAGAAUAUGACUGAGGGAUAUGACUGAGGGUUAUAUGGCAGAAGAAGAGACCAAGGUAAGUAUAGAAGCAGGAGUGAAAGUUUGUUAAAAAGCUUUAGAGAGGAAUGAAAAGAAAAUAAAGUACGCUUGGAAGAGGGCGAAGCAGGUGACUUGAAAGGCAACUGCAUG